UUACUCAUAUCCUAACCCAUAAACAACAAUAAAGUUGUAAAAUUUUGAAAUAAAAGAUUAAGAAAAAAAAUAAGAAAACCGCCUACUCCAUAGAAUAUCUUCUUCUCCUACCCUGGAUUGAAAUCCCUUUGAUUCUACGGUCAAGACUCUCAAUAUAAUAAUAUUUCGUAGAUCAUAACCGGAGCGGCAAAACCAGCCUACCAAAACCUUCACACGGCAUCGAUUCCCCUCUCCCGACGGCGAUUCCCCUAACCCGACGGCGCUUUCCUUUAUCGGCGGGUGCUACCCUUCUCACGACGAAUUUUUCAAAUUGAAUUUCAAGGUAUCCUCUCAGUGAUAUUGCUGGAAAAUUGUUCUAAGAAGGCUGGUUGAUUUCAUGGUCCUGCAUCUACUGAAGACGUACAAAGAUGUGAUCUAGAAGAUUAUGAACAGAAUUUCUUAGAAUGAAUAAAACAGUUAAGUAGACAAAAAAAUACAGCAAAUAUCAGCAGUACCUUGAGAAGUUAAUAAUGCAAAAACAAAUCCAAACAGCGCGCAAUGCAGUAAGUUAAUAUUUGGUACAAUACAUACAUCAUCUAAACAUACUUCAGUUUACAUACCCAACAACAACUAAGAAUACCUAACAACAAUACUCAAGCUUUUGACGCCAAGACAAAAGAAGAGUUGCAGUAGGACAAAGAUCUUUAAGGGUUGUUGCCUUUGGUAAUGCACUAUGCCAAGGCGGUUGUUACCUAUUCGAAUCAUUUUUAUGUCUUGUAUGUAGUACUUUCCUCAACUUGCCACUUAUUCUCAAGCGACAAUUGACGAGACACGAGAUACUUUGGUUACAUAUUUUUUCAAGAAAAAACAAGUUAUCAAUGAUCGAAUUGAAGAAGAUGAAGAAAAAGAUCUUCUGGACUUUGGUCAUGAAUGAUCUUUGUAAUUAGUGCAUAUUGAAACUUUCUAACAUUUUUUAUGGGAAUCUCGUAGCAAGUUAAUACAUUUGAAGUACUUUGGAUUCGAACUUGUUAUUCUCACAGUAGUUUUAUUUAGUUUAUAAAUUGUUUUGGAGAACAAGAAGUUGGCACAUUGGUCGAUUUGGAGAAUUUUUAUGAAUAUAUAUAGAGUAGAUGGAAUAUUAAAUGUCAAUUGAGACAGUUUGGAUAUUGGAUGGCAUCUAACAUGUACCAUAUAAUUUGAAAAUAUAUUAUCUGUCAAUAAUUCAUUGGUUUUAGCAGCCAUUUAAAAUUUAAUAAAAAAAAUUAACAAAAAUCAAAGAAA